AUGGAGACGCAGAGCGCGAAGAAGGCGAGGACGCCGCCGCCAAAUGUGCCCCAAGAAGAAGAAUCCACCAAUGCUUCCAACAUGCCUCGAGGAGGAACAAGCCAAGAAUACACCGUGGAGGCGGACGGAUUGGGAUGCGAGAUCUGCUUCGAACCUUUUGACGACCAGAUCUUCAUGUGCAAGAAUGGGCAUCCUGCAUGCGGAACCUGCUGCAUCCGCAUGGACCGGCUCUGCUUCUGCACCGACCCCAUCGGCGACAUCCGGUGCCGGCCGCUGGAGAAGAUCCUGGCGGCCAUGACCAGGCCCUGCGCCUAUGUGACCUACGGCUGCAAGGAGAUCGUCAGCUACUCCGGGAGGAGGAGCCACGAGAAGGUGUGCCCGUUCGCGCCGUACCACUGCCCGUUCGACGGCUGCACCUACCAAGGCCUGGAGGUGUACACCCACAUACGCGACCGCCACGCCCCGUCCGCCGUGAUCGUGCGCGGCGGCAGCCAGCGCUUGGACGUCACGCUGGAGAAGAAGACGCCCUUCCGCGUGCUCCUGCACCGCGAUGGGGCCAGCGUCUUCCUCCUGCUUAACGGCGGCGACGUCCUGUGCGGGCGCUCGCUGUCGCUCGUCUGCAUGGGACCUCGCCCCACGGGGAACGCCGGCGUGAAGUACAAGAUGGAGGUGAAGAGGCGGAGCGACCCGGACGCGCCCGUGCUGUGGAGCUCCGGGGCCGCGCCCUUCGUCCGGCGGCUGAAGGAUUUCCAUGCCAAAGGGUUCCUGUUCGUCCCAGACUCCUACUGGGACUCCUACGACAGCGUCUCGGUCACGGUGCAUCUCACCGACGGCUGGUGA
rnacentral:rRNA from 1 species